rnacentral:rRNA from 1 species
UACAGAGGUCUCGAGCGUUGUUCGGAUUCAUUGGGCGUAAAGGGCGCGUAGGCGGCGGGGUAAGUCUGGUGUGAAAUCUCGGAGCUCAACUCCAGAACUGCCUUCGAUACUGGGAGUCUCGAGUCCGGGAGAGGUGAGUGGAACUGCGAGUGUAGAGGUGAAAUUCGUAGAUAUUCGCAAGAACACCAGUGGCGAAGGCGGCUCACUGGCCCGGUACUGACGCUGAGGUGCGAAAGCGUGGGGAGCAAACAGG